AAACGCAGGGGGGACACGGCCCCCCCUGGAGCCCCUUCAGGACUGUUGUGUGGUCCAGGAACCAGCAGUGCCCAGGAUUCGAUCAUGAGCACUGGUUGAGAACAGCUGACAGCAGCUAAAACAAGCAGGAGGGAAGCAAACGUCAGUUUGACGACGACGAACCGCAGAUGAGACAGCGGACAGUAUCCUUAAAGGUGCAGUACCGCCACCUAUCGGUCAUAUAGUGAAACUCAUCUUAUCGUACAAAUUUAAUCCGCUCACUUGAAUAAAAUAUUGCGACUCUAUGUGACAACAACACAUUAAUUUGCUUAGCGCAAACAUAUACAUUUCUAUACCACAGCAUAGUGCAGUGUCUUAUACAAAUGUACCACUAAAUACAUGCCCCAGAGGGAUAGCAGAACUUUAUCUAUUACAAGACAACAGCUCGCCUGCUAACAAAAAACAUAGAAAACGUUAGAAUUCACGACAGUACGGUGUCCAGCAAGGGACAAUCCGCGCUCCCUGCCCUAUUACAGCAGAGUAAUGGCGCCAUCUAGCGGCCGUUACAGAUCCCUGCUUUAUAUUAAAGGAGUCAUAUCAUGCUUUUCAUUCUAAAAAAUAUUAGACUUUAAUGUCUCAGUAAGGUCUCUGUAAAUUUUCAUCCCAUAAAACCCUUUAGAUCGUCCACACUGCCCCUGUCAAUGUGUGGUUUUCACUCUCCAUCAGCAAACGCUGUGUUUUCUGGGCGUGUCGCAAGCGAAGCUGCUCACCACACCUCUGUGCGGAAGCGCAUACCUUUUUUGUUGUUUUUUUUUUAAAUUGGCUCCAUGGAUACGAGCCACCGCACGGUUACGAUACAAUAGGUGGCAGUAGUGCGACAUUGAGAACGCAAUCCACCGCAAUCCUCCACAGAAGAAGAAGACCCACUACAGGACUACACAACAUUAACAAGCUGAUUCGUAGCGUUGUAGAACCAUACGUCUACGAUCCCGAAUCUGACCCUGAAGCUGAAGAGGAGGCUGUUGAAGUCAACACAUUUCGGCUGAUGCAAGAUGUGUCUCAUUGUUGUUACAGGUAUCUAGUCUACAGAGGCUAGUGGGCUGGUGCUGAGGAUUCCUGGGGUGAAGAAUCUGAGUUGCCAUCUCUUCAUGCUUGGGUUGUAGAUGAAGGCAGUUUCCUGAUGGAUAAAACACUAAAACACUCAUAGUAUGAUUGAUGUAGACCACCUGUAGAAUAACUCCUUUACCAUUUGAGUAAAAAUGUGUUUUUUGUGAGUGCAACACUCAUUAAGAAUUUUUUUAACUUUAUUUAUAUAUAAUUUAUAUGCGUUUUAUUUAUGGCCGCUUCAACUUUAUAGCUUACCAUAUUAGAAAGAGAAAAACAUAUAAUUUCAAUACUAUGAUUUC